rnacentral:misc_RNA from 1 species
AACGCACAUUGCGCCCGCUAGUAUUCUGGCGGGCAUGCCUGUUCGAGCGUCAUUUCAACCAUCAAGCCCCCGGCUUGCGUUGGAGCCCUGCGGCUGCCGCAGGCUCCCAAAUACAGUGGCGGGCUCGUCGUCGUACCGAGUGCAGUAAACAUCCUCGCUCAGGGAACGCGUCGGGUUCUUGCCGUGAAACCCCCCCUAUAUCAAGGUUGACCUCGGAUCAGGUAGGAAUACCCGCUGAACUUAA